UACAGAGGUCUCAAGCGUUGUUCGGAUUCAUUGGGCGUAAAGGGUGCGUAGGUGGCGCCGUAAGUCAGGUGUGAAAUUUCGGAGCUUAACUCCGAAACUGCAUUUGAUACUGCGGUGCUUGAGGACUGGAGAGGAGACUGGAAUUCACGGUGUAGCAGUGAAAUGCGUAGAUAUCGUGAGGAAGACCAGUGGCGAAGGCGAGUUCCUGGACAGUUACUGACGCUGAGGCACGAAGGCCAGGGGAGCAAACGGG
rnacentral:rRNA from 1 species